CCCCUAGUAACGGCGAGUGAAGAGGGAAGAGCCCAAGAUUGAAAGCUGGCGUCUUUGGCGUCCGCAUUGUAAUCUCAAGAAGUGUUUUCCGCUUCGGACCAUGCCUAAGUCCCUUGGAAAAGGGCAUCAUAGAGGGUGAUAAUCCCGUACAUGGCAUGGAGCGCCCGAAGCUUUGUGAUACACUUUCUAAGAGUCGAGUUGUUUGGGAAUGCAGCUCAAAAUGGGUGGUAAAUGCCAUCUAAGGCUAAAUAUUGGGGAGAGACCGAUAGCGAACAAGUACAGUGAUGGAAAGAUGAAAAGAACUUUGAAAAGAGAGUUAAACAGUACGUGAAAUUGCCAAAAGGGAAGGGUAGGAGGUCAGAGAUGCGGUCUGGGAUUCAGCCUUGCUUUUGCUGGGUGUUUUUCUCAGAUUGCAGGCCAACGUCGGUUUUGGGCGCUGGAGAAGGGUGGAAGGAAUGUGGCACCUCUCGGGGUGUGUUAUAGCCUUCUACUGGAUACAGUGACCGAGACCGAGGACAGCAGCGUACUCGCAAGAGCGGGCCUUCGGGCACCUUUACGCUUAGGGCGUUG
rnacentral:rRNA from 1 species